AGAUGGAUUAGUGGCGCACGGGUGAGUAAUGCAUAGAUAACAUGCCCUUUAGUCUAGGAUAGCCACUGGAAACGGUGAUUAAUACUGGAUACUCCCUACGGGGGAAAGUUUUUCGCUAAAGGAUUGGUCUAUGUCCUAUCAGCUUGUUGGUGAGGUAAUGGCUCACCAAGGCUAUGACGGGUAUCCGGCCUGAGAGGGUGAACGGACACACUGGAACUGAGACACGGUCCAGACUCCUACGGGAGGCAGCAGUAGGGAAUAUUGCUCAAUGGGGGAAACCCUGAAGCAGCAACGCCGCGUGGAGGAUGAAGGUUUUCGGAUUGUAAACUCCUUUUGUUAGAGAAGAUA
rnacentral:rRNA from 1 species